AUGUAUGAACAUGCAUCAGGGCAGAGGGUAAAUCUUCAGAAGUUGUCCAUCUUCUUUGGAAAGGGUUGCUCAGAGGACAAUAAGAACAUGCUCAAGGGUGUUAUUGGCGUUAGCUUUGAGGCGCUCAGUGAGAGAUAUCUUGGCUUACCGACUGCGGUGGGUCGAUCCAUAGAUGGCACUUUCAAGUACGUCAGAGAG
rnacentral:rRNA from 1 species